UACGUAGGUGGCAAGCGUUGUCCGGAAUUAUUGGGCGUAAAGCGCGCGCAGGCGGUUCCUUAAGUCUGAUGUGAAAGCCCCCGGCUCAACCGGGGAGGGUCAUUGGAAACUGGGGAACUUGAGUACUGAAGAGGAAAGCGGUAUUCCACGUGUAGCGGUGAAAUGCGUAGAGAUGUGGAGGAACACCAGUGGCGAAGGCGGCUUUCUGGUCAGUAACUGACGCUGAGGCGCGAAAGCGUGGGGAGCAAACAGG
rnacentral:rRNA from 1 species